AACGAACGCUGGCGGUAUGCCUAACACAUGCAAGUCGAACGAGACCUACGGGUCUAGUGGCGCACGGGUGCGUAACGCGUGGGAACCUGCGCUUAGGUUCGGCAUAACCCCCCGAACGGGGUGCUAAUACCGGAUAAUUUCCUCGGCCCAAAGAUUUAUCGCCUCUGGCUGGGCCCGCGUUGGCUUAGCUAGUUGGUAGGGUAAACGACUACCAAGGCGACGAUCCAUAGCUGGUCUGAGAGGAUGAUCAGCCACACUGGGACUGAGACACGGCCCAGACUCCUACCGGAGGCCGCCGUGGGGAAGAUUGGACAAAAGGGGGAAGCCUGAUCCACCAAUGCCGCGUGACUGAUGAAGGCCUUAGGGUCGGAAAGCUCUGAUGCCUGAGAGGACAAUGCCAGUACCUGGAGAGUACAACACGGCGAACGCAGUG
rnacentral:rRNA from 1 species